rnacentral:rRNA from 1 species
UACGUAGGUGGCAAGCGUUUGUCCGGAAUUUAUUGGGCGUAAAGCGCGCGCAGGCGGCUUCUUAAGUCUGAUGUGAAAUCUCGGGGCUCAACCCCGAGCGGCCAUUGGAAACUGGGAGCUUGAGUACAGAAGAGGAGAGUGGAAUUCCACGUGUAGCGGUGAAAUGCGUAGAUAUGUGGAGGAACACCAGUGGCGAAGGCGACUCUCUGGUCUGUAACUGACGCUGAGGCGCGAAAGCGUGGGAGCAAACAGG